AGGAUCGAUGAAAUUAUGCUACGAAGUUGUAUUUUAGAGAUGAAUUAUGUUUUGUGCGUACCUAGUGAACACUAUGCCACCUGGGGCGAGGAUCUGGUGUUGGCAUUGAGGCCGGGAGAAAUAAUCCCUAGCGAAAGGCUGAGGGACACGGAGACAGGCAUUGGGCCGGGAGGGAGAUAUCUCUGGCUACGGGCACAGAGACUGAGGUGCAGGCAUUGGGCCGGGAGUAUUGUUAUUCAGUGCACUCACUAGCAGCACAACUUGUGUUAUGCUUCCUGACAUGAUUGCUGAGAUAAUUUCUGAUAUGAUUUUCUGAGAUUGAUUUGCAGAUGGAUAUAUGAAUUGUUUUAUGGCAUGCUAAAGUUUUCUUGAAAAGCUUAUCACUUAUUAUUCUAGUAGUUUUCAUUAUUAAACUGUGGGGGUUAGUAUGUUCGUAACUGUUUUCGUACUAUGUAUGUAUAUAAACUUGGUCCACUCACCCUUGUUUUGCGCCCCCCAUUCAGGACUUAGGAUGAAGGCACAUAACCCCGGCAUCAAGGUACUUCCGCAGCGGCAUCUUCGAGUCCUCUCGGGGUAGGACCCACUCAUUUGUUCAUUCAAUCUUAUCUUAGUUCUUGUUAGUGACUAGGUUUAGUUAUAUGCUCUGAACACGUUCCUAAAUUGUUAAUUCAUUGUUUUUAAAUUCAUAACCUGUAUUUAUUUCUUAUUCUUAGCUUUUGUAUCAAUUAAUGGCUUUCGUCACCCCCGGGUGUCGGCCAGCACGUGUCGGUCCUAGUAUUCGGGGAAUAUCAGGGUCGGGGCGUGUCAGAUUGGUAUCAGAGCGUGGUUUUGUUCAGAGCAUACUUAGGAUUAUCCUUAACUCUCGUAGUGUGUCUGUCAUGACAUUAUUUGGAUGUCACGACUUCUGGAUUUGCUGUCUUUCGGCCCAGUUGUGCAAAUCUUUCUCUGUUUGAAUUGUCACCUUCUGGUUGAAAUACAAGAAUUUUUGUCGGGAUUGUGCCUCAUCGGUGACGUUUUUGUUUUGUUAGACGACUUUUAACAUCGUAUCGAUACUCAGCGACGUGUUUUAGAAAUCUCGAUUUGAGGAAUUCUGGUUAAGACUAGCCAUAGAUCUGAAAUGGCGAUGCCGCUCUGCAACAUGCAUUCCUUAGGAAUCGCGGGCAGAGUCGGCUCUACAUCAAAAAUUUUGGAUUAGUGGUACGAGUUGGUUAAGACGAAAUGGAAAUCGAAAUCGAUGAUGUCACUCUGUGAUAUGCGUUACCUAGGAAUGGCGGGCAAGGUCACAUCUAUGUGGAAACUACUUAAAAUAUUCGAAAUGCACGUUGGAGAAAACAAGUAAACGUUGGUUGUGACGAAUCUGGAAAGUGUCAGUUGGAAUUUGAAUCAACGUUUUUGGACUCAUUCCUAUUGAGGGAAUUCGUGUAGCUCUUCAGAAUGGUACUCGGCGAUUGUUCUAUCGUUAACCCUUUUGCCCUUUUGCUUACUCCAACGACGAAGUUAAGCUCCUAAUUUUUUUUACUGUUAGCUUCACAUCAAAUUCUCUGAGUGUUGACUUCGUUUGUAUUAAUUGCUUUUCUCGGGAAACUCCUUGGUAGCAAACGCUAUUCUCAUCAAUUUCCAAAAUGAGUUGCAAUUCUUGUUGUUGUUGUAGUUGCACUUGGAUAAUGAAGAUUCAGUCUUGUUUGGAUAAACAAAUUCCUUGAAUUUCACCAAGUCUGGUACUCGGCGAUAAAACCCUAGUUCCUCGUCCGCGUACUUUUCGGUGAAGGUGAACUUAGUCUCUUGCUUGCAACCUAGCUGUUCAGCCUUGUAAUUUUCAGUGUGAUGGUUGAGACUUCACCAUAUUCAUCGUUGUACGAAGAUCGAGCUUUACUCUGAACUUCUCUGGACGUAUUGAGCUUUGGUUUACUCAAGAGCAUCACUUUAAGGUAGCCAAUCGUGUCACUGCAAGCAUAUGCAGGUUUCUCUGUAUCUUUCUUCUUCGCCAUUUUGUUGAUUCAAAGGUUCUAUGUUUAAUUUCUAAAUUUGAAAUGGCUCUCACAAAGUAUUAUGAAUUUCGAAAUAUUUUUGGCCUCGUCCAAUCUUAUUAUCAGUUCUUAACUAUUCUUGAGCUUAGACCUAAUUCCUUUUUGGCUAAGAAACCAGUUGACCAUACUGUGAUGAUUUGCAAAAUAAUCAUAAACAGUGACUUUUAGUUUUGUAUCUUCAUUUUCCUUCUGCUCUCGAGUUGAUUGUGCAGGCUCAAUUCCUUAUUUGUUCUCCAAGUAGAUGUGGCAGCUUCUUUGGAAGUACAUCAGCAGUGGAAGAUGAGUACUCGAGAGCAAUUUCUCCAUGUCCUGCAGGUUAGAACAAAGACAAGGAAAAGGACAUGGAGAAUGCAUGAUAUGAGAUACUCUUGCUCUCUACCUUCAUGAUAUGAAAUACUUUUGCUCUUGAAGAUUUGUUUGCAGAGGUAUCCCAGGGGAUGAGGAACACUGAGUGACUCGAGAGGGUUCGAUGGGAAUUCAUUCUCAGAGAUGACGGAAUGUUAUGUAUGUCUGCCUUGCCAUGGAGGGUGAAGGUCGACAUUUAUAGGAAAUAAUGACCGGUACUGUUCUUUCAUUCCUGUCGGCAACCGUUGGAUGAUUGUACAGUAAACUUCACGUGUUUUCUACUUCAACAGAAAUUGUCGACAGAUUGCCCGUGAUUUCCUCAAAGCUGACGAGGCUGAGAGAGACAGAUGGUUGGAAUCGGCGCUUCGAUAUCUGGAAUCGGUGGUUUGUGAGCAAGCCCAACUUUUGAGAAAAGCUGGCGCCUCUUCGAUCUCUGAAAAAGAAGAUUGGCCGUGGUUUCUAAGCAAACCCAGCUUUUGAGAAAGUUAGCGCUUCUUUGAUUUUUUGAGUUGGCCUCUUCGAUUUCUGAGCUCGCCUCUUCGAUCUCUGAAAUCCCAUCGCGUGUUUUUUUUUAUAGAGGUACGCAGGACGUUCAAAGUACACUUGAAUUUCUGCCUGUAAAAAAAAAAAAACUCCCUUCUUGCACUUCUACGAUCUUGACUUGUCCGACCUCUUCUUUCUUUAACACCUCUGAAAAUGUCUGGCCCUUCCGACCGUCGAUUUGACUUGAACCUUGGUGAAGAGGCAGCUCCGCCUUCUCCAGACAACAUAUGGCGCCCAUCCUUCAUAUCCCCUACUGGUCCUCUUACCGUUGGGGAUUCGGUGAUGAAGAAUGAUAUGACAGCUGCGGUGGUGGCCAGGAACCUUGUCACUCCCAAAGAUAACAGACUACUUGCCAGACGGUCUGAUGAGUUGGCUGUUAAGGAGUCUCUGGCUCUUAGUGUGCAGUGUGCGGGUUCAGUGUCCAACAUGGCCCAACGCCUAUUUGCUCGAACCCGUCAAGUUGAAUCGUUGGCGGCAGAAGUGAUUAGUCUCAAACAGGAGAUUAGAGGGCUCAAGCAUGAGAAUAAACAGCUGCACAAGCUCGCACACAACUAUGCCACAAACAUGAAAAGGAAAAUUGACCAGAUGCAGGAAUCUGAUGGUCAGAUCUUACUUGAUCAUCAGAGGUUCGUGGGUUUGUUCCAACAGCAUUUGCCUUCGUCUUUUGGGGCUGUACCGCAUACUGAAGCUCCAAAUGAUCAACCUCCGCUGCCUCCUCCUUCUGGGGCUCCGCCGACUGCUGAGGCUCCGCCAAAUACUGAGACUUUUCCUAAGCAGCCUUUGUGAAGGCUCCCUAUUGUAAUUUUCUGCUUAAAUGUUCCUUUUCUACAAAAAUCAAUGAAAAUGUAUCUUGGUUACCAAAAAUCCAUACCAAAAGAAAUCAAACAAGUAACAACUAAAAAUGACAAACAAGGUAUAGUUUUCAAAUGGGUUCGUUGUUGGCAAAACACUGGAAUAGUUAGUCACAUUUGGAAGAACUGAAGUGAAUUUGAUGCUUGGUGCUGGAUAGAGUGUUACGACUACAAUUUCUGUUUUGUUCGGUAUGGUGUUUGGCACUUUUUACGACAUGGUAUGAGAGUUUUUCACAGGCAACAUUGGCUGACAAAGGAAUAUUGUGAACUGAUAUUCGGGAGGAUCGAAUUUAUGACGUGUGAAAUUAUUCAUCCUUAGGAAAUUACUACUUGCUUAUCGAGACAACAAAUGUGAGGUCGAUAUUACGGGCUGCAGACUGUGAUAUCGAUAGCUUAUUUGUUGGGUUCAUUAAGCAAGUGGGCAAGAAGACCCGUCUACGAUAGUUGUUGCGGAUUUGUUAGUCUUGGGGCUCGACCCAAAGACACAUCUAUUCUCGGAGUACGUGACAUUUCGAAUUCUUGGGCAAGACCCACUUUCAUUUCCGAUUUUGGAUUUUCAGUAUAAAUAUUUUAACUUCCGUUAUUAGUUAUUUAUUUUCGAAGUUACAAAUGUUUUGGGGAAAGUAUUUCUGUUUUCAGUUUUAAGUUCAACACGAGUUUUUGAUCUACAUGUUAGUACUUGUCCAUUUUGACGUUAUCGUAUUUUGAGUACUUGCUUUUAACCUUAAGCUAUUCUUUGUCUUCAACUUUAUAUCUUUAUAAAGUAUGUUUCUACUUGUACACUGAUGGAGAAAGAAAGUAUGGGCAUGGAGGCACGAAAGAUGGAAUCAUUGUAACCCGAUCGCGACGGGAUGACAUUUUCCCUUUUGUGCAACCGCUCUGACUUGAUUUCUUCGUUACGUACAUAUUUAUAUAUUUUUCUUCUUCCUAUUUUCGAGUAUUUCAGUUUAGUAAGUGAUUUUAAAUUUCGAGGACGAAAUUUUCUUUAAGGGGGUAGAUUGUUAAACCCCACCCCCAUUUUUCAUCUUAUUUCUAUUUUUCCCCUAGAACAUAUUUGUUAUCUAUCAAUUUAGUCCCUUAUUCUCUUUUAAUCCUAACCUUUGAUCUAGAAAUGUUGUCUCUCUUAGACUGCCAUGUGGCAGCUCUCAGAUCUCUCCCUUCUUCCCUCUCUUCCCGAAACACAUCUCAGAACCUCUCUCUUUUUCUGUUUCUUCUCUCUCUAACUCUAAAAAACUCUCACACUCUCUAAGCUCCGAGAGAUUCUCUCUAACUUUCACCUCACUUCCUUCACAAAUCAAACCCCAAAAACCAUAUAUUUGGAAUCCUUGAGACCUAACGAACUCAAUGGUACCUUUGCAUGCGCCAUCUGAGCACCGUGGGUUUUUCUGUCAUUGAAGCCGAGAGCUUCAAAGCUCUAAAACUCCAACCCAGGUAAAGAUUGUGUUCCUUUUUCAAAUUUCUGGGGUUAAUCAUGUUAUUUGUGUUGGUUUUAAGGUCAAAAUCGAGGGUUUUGACCUUACCUUUUCUCUAUGCCAAAAACCCGGUUCCGACGACGAACUCCGACGAGUUCGUAGGUGUGUGUGUGUACAAGUGUGUGUGUGUGUCCGUGUGUGUGUAUGCCAACUGUGAGUGUGUGUGAGCAGUGCAUGCUUUGCAUGUGUGUGUGUGUUGAUAAGUAUGGGUUGGGCUCAAGCCCAAACCACCUCUUGAUCCUAACCUAUCCAAAUCCAAGGCCCAUUUCCAUUUCCUAGAAUUAUAUUGUUGGGUAGUUUGAUUAACUGUACGUUCUUGUACUUAGGGGCAAUCAUCGCAACGUUUCUGUCUUCGCUAGUGGCGCAGCUUUUGACGGAGUAUUUGUGAGUGGACCACCUUCGAAAAUUGCAUGUUUUAUUGAUAGAAAAUUUGUGUUGGUUUUAAGGUCAAAAUCGAGGGUUUUGACCUUACCUUUUCUCUAUGCCAAAAACCCGGUUCCGACGACGAACUCCGACGAGUUCGUAGGUGUGUGUGUGUACAAGUGUGUGUGUGUGUGUCCGUGUGUGUGUAUGCCAACUGUGAGUGUGUGUGAGCAGUGCAUGCUUUGCAUGUGUGUGUGUGUUGAUAAGUAUGGGUUGGGCUCAAGCCCAAACCACCUCUUGAUCCUAACCUAUCCAAAUCCAAGGCCCAUUUCCAUUUCCUAGAAUUAUAUUGUUGGGUAGUUUGAUUAACUGUACGUUCUUGUACUUAGGGGCAAUCAUCGCAACGUUUCUGUCUUCGCUAGUGGCGCAACUUUUGACGGAGUAUUUGUGAGUGGACCACCUUCGAAAAUUGCAUGUUUUAUUGAUAGAAUUGCAUAAUUUAAUAGCAUGCCUUCCAGAAUUAUUUGAUUUGAGGAUCGAUGAAAUUAUGCUACGAAGUUGUAUUUUAGAGAUGAAUUAUGUUUUGUGCGUACCUAGUGAACACUAUGCCGCCUGGGGCGAGGAUCUGGUGUUGGCAUUGAGGCCGGGAGAAAUAAUCCCUAGCGAAAGGCUGAGGGACACGGAGACAGGCAUUGGGCCGGGAGGGAGAUAUCUCUGGCUACGGGCACAGAGACUGAGGUGCAGGCAUUGGGCCGGGAGUAUUGUUAUUCAGUGCACUCACUAGCAGCACAACUUGUGUUAUGCUUCCUGACAUGAUUGCUGAGAUAAUUUCUGAUAUGAUUUUCUGAGAUUGAUUUGCAGAUGGAUAUAUGAAUUGUUUUAUGGCAUGCUAAAGUUUUCUGAAAAGCUUAUCACUUAUUAUUCUAGUAGUUUUCAUUAUUAAACUGUGGGGGUUAGUAUGUUCGUAACUGUUUUCGUACUAUGUAUGUAUAUAAACUUGGUCCACUCACCCUUGUUUUGCGCCCCCAUUCAGGACUUAGGAUGAAGGCACAUAACC
rnacentral:lncRNA from 1 species